rnacentral:lncRNA from 1 species
AAAGCUCCAAUAAGGUAGCCAAAUAAAGUGUUCCCUUAUUGAAAAAAAAAACAGGUGGAUCUAACUGAGGAACAAUGUCAAGUACAAUGUCACUGAUAAUAUAUCAAACAAGAGGGUUGAUACAAAAGCAAGCAGAAAAAUAACACAAAAAUUGACAACCCAGUUUAGUGUAGAAUCACGUACCGUCAGGGAGAAGUUGUGUCCGAUGAAAUGAAACUUCACUAUAUAAAGAGUUUAACAACUACAACGAAAGUACUUAUCUGUUAGACUUCCUCUACGAUUACUCCCGCAUAUAGC